UACGAAGGGGGCGAGCGCUGUUCGGAAUUACUGGGCGUAAAGGGCGCGUAGGCGGCUGUUCCAAGUCGGGGGUGAAAGCCUGUGGCUCAACCACAGAAUGGCCUUCGAUACUGGACGGCUCGAGACCGGAAGAGGUGAGUGGAACUGCGAGUGUAGAGGUGAAAUUCGUAGAUAUUCGCAAGAACACCAGUGGCGAAGGCGGCCAACUGGACCAUUACUGACGCUGAGGCGCGAAAGCGUGGGGAGCAAACAGG
rnacentral:rRNA from 1 species